ensembl:lncRNA
AGAGGCCUUGGGAGCCCGGCGCUCUGUUCCGACCUGGGCUGCAGUGCUCGGGCAGACGGCGCCCGCGGCCCACGACGCUUCCGCAGGGUCGGUGGCCAGUGAGCUUCGCCGCCUGGCUUCCUGACGACCGCCGAUCGCCUGUGUUCGUGGCUUUUUCUCAUCCACUGUCCUCAGUUCCCUCGCCUUCGAAAAUGGCGAGGCGAGUGUCGGGGUCAGUCCAGCCUAGGAUUGGAAUGCUGACCUGCUUUUUGGGUGGGAGGGCAGGAGGGGAUCUUCUGGACCCUCAAGAGAGCAAGAGGGAAAUUCAUCCCCCAGACCUCUGAUACUCUGUCUCACCUUUCCACCACUUUGUUGAACACCUCCCCCGCGUUUCCCAAAGAGGCUUCCAUGAAUCCUUGCACUCUGCUUAUGUGAAGCCAAAACACUGAACACUCAGUUCUCUUUCUCUCUGCUAAUGGCCUGCCUGGGGCCAGAGAUAGACAUCUUCUUUUGCUGUUUCUGGUUGAGUCUGUAACUGAGUCCUGUAGAUUUCUUCUCCAGGACCACCCUCCCCAUCUUCUCAUCUUUCCUGCUGUCCCUGCCCUAGUUUAGGCACACCUGGGCUUACCUUUCCCCCCGGAUGAUCUCAACAGUUCCUGUCUCUCGUGCCACCUCCAGUUUCUUCUCCACUUGCUGCCAGGGAAACUUCCUCUUCUACUGCUCUGCUCACUGCCCUACCUUCCUGUCCCUUAUC